rnacentral:lncRNA from 1 species
GUUUAUUAAGCAUGUACAAUAUCCCUGUAGUUGAUCUUAGUUUUCUAUAUAAGUUAUUUUAUUUUCUACCUACAAAACAGUUUUAUGAUUUAUGUACUAGUAUCAUCUCUAUAAUUGAAGAAAUUUGGGUGCAAAAUUGUUUUAGUCAGCUUCUUGGUUGCUUGAUCAAAAAAACUAACAAGAACAAUUUGAGGAGGAAAAGUUUGAGGUCUCUCAGGUUCAGAGGUCUCAGUCCAUGGAUAGCCAGCUCCAUUCCCUGGGGCUCAAGGGACAUGAUGGGGAAAUAAUGAAGUGAUGGAAAGUAGCUCAGGACAUGAUGAUCAGGAAUGAGAAAAAGAGAGAGAGAGAGAGAGAGAGAGAGAGAGAGAGAGAGAGAGAGAUACUCUCCUCACAACAUACAAAAUGCAUACCCCAAAGGUACACCCUCAGUGACCUACCUCUUCCAGCCACACCCUACCUACUUUCAGUUACCACUCAGUCAAUUUCUAUCAGAGGAUUAAUGCACUGAUAGGGUUAAGGUUCUCAUAACCCAAUCAUUUCACCUCUAAAUCUUCUUGCAUUGUCUCACACAUGAGCUUUCGGGUGUUACUUCACAUGUAAACCACAACAAAAAUCAAAUCAUGCAGCCUAGAUUACCGUAGCAUAGGGAGUCUAGAUUUAAGCCUAGGUUAUCGUCUGACAUCAAAUUCAUGCGCUAACUAUAAACAUAUUGUUGUUGGCUCUUUUUUCAGGGUGGUGGGUACCAGGGAUUGAACUCAGGGGCACUCAAUCAUUGAGCCAUAUCACUCACCCUUUUUUGUAUUUAUUUAGAGACAGGGUCUCAUUGAGUUGCUUAGUGUCUUGCUGUUCCUGAAGCUGGCUUUGAACUGGAAAUUCUGCCUCAGCCUAUGCUGCUGGGAUUACAGCGUGUAACACCACUCCUGGCUGUAGUUGGCUCUUACAGGUUGAAAGAGAAUGCUCACCCUUUCUGGGCUGAUCUCCAGAAAAGUCUAUUCUUAAUUCUGGAUGCCAAACAUUUAUUAUUUGUUUCCACUGAUGCAUCAUGAUAGCAUUAUAUGUUUGAAUAACUCAUCUUUGAUAACUUAUUUCUAAGAAAUGAUCUUCUUUCAUAUUUGUACUGAAAGUUAAGUAUAAACUGCUGAACAUAGUUGAAUCCACCAAAUAAAUGAUUUUCUUUUAGAAAAAUUUCUAAGUCAAUUUUACAUGAUUUCUUCUAUUUAUUUUGUCACGAUAUAGCUGAUUUGUAUAUCUUGAUUCAUCAAUGAUUUUGGCUUUUAAGUUAAACAUUAUGGCCAAUUAGUUUAAUAGUACCAUACUUCAUUUAACCUAUUUUUUUGGGAAGAAGUUCCUGCCAUAUUUAUUUGUUAUCUAAAAUCUCUGAUUUAUUCACAUUUUUUAUCUAGUCUACCUUACAGUAAGUAAGUAAAUAAAUAAAUAAAUUCUUAAAUAUUCUAACAGAAAUAGUUCUCUGUGAUAAUAAUGUUAAGUUAAAUACUUUAGAGGUUCAUAUAUGGGAUUUCUAUGAUCACAGCUAGAUGUCAUGACUAGCAGAACCUUCCUGGAAUUGCAGAUGCUUAAGGAAAGUCUUACAGGAAGAGAGGGCUGUUUUUAGGUGACCAUGAAGAAGGCAAAAGCAUGCCAGUCCCAG